GUUAGGUUUAUGGUUCAGGUUAGGUUUAUGGUUCAGGUUAGGUUUAUGGUUCAGGUUAGGUUUAUGGUUCAGGUUAGGUUUAUGGUCAAGGUUAGGUUUAUGGUUCAGGUUAGGUUUAUGGUCAAGGUUAGGUUUAUGGUUCAGGUUAGGUUUAUGGUUCAGGUUAGGUUUAUGGUUCAGGUUAGGUUUAUGGUUCAGGUUAGGUUUAUGGUUCAGGUUAGGUUUAUGGUUCAGGUUAGGUUUAUGGUUCAGGUUAGGUUUAUGGUUCAGGUUAGGUUUAUGGUCAAGGUUAGGUUUAUGGUUCAGGUUAGGUUUAUGGUUCAGGUUAGGUUUAUGGUUCAGGUUAGGUUUAUGGUUCAGGUUAGGUUUAUGGUCAAGGUUAGGUUUAUGGUCAAGGUUAGGUUUAUGGUUCAGGUUAGGUUUAUGGUUA